GAAACUCUGAUAAACUUGCAGGACAUCUUAGAAAGCAAUUUGUUAAUACAUAUUGAGUCAAAAAAUAGUUAUGACUUUGACUUAACAAUUGCACUUGUGAUGUAUCUUGCGAAAUAAUUCAAAAAAAGAUUCCACAUCAGAGUUACAUAUGAUGAAAACUUGAAGAUGCUCAUUUCAGAGUUACUUAGGAUUGCAAAAGAAAAAAAAAAGGGAACAAGCCUAAUGCAAUAAAUAUUAAUGACAGUGUGCUAGCCUGUAUACGAAGCAGUAGAGAUACAGUUCAAAGAAAAAUUCCAUGCCCACAUUGGGUUUAUGCACUAGUGGGACAAACAAAUAAAAAUAUGUGUCAAGUAGUGAUCACAUCAAUGAAAAACAAAUGAAGUAAAGAAAAUGAUUGAGCUUCUAAAUGAUGGAGCCAGACAUUAAACUCAGGUCAUGUGAGUUAUGUUUUACCAACUUUUUGUUUUGUUAUGUUUUAUCAAAGUCAAUGCUAUACCAAAUUGCCUCAAAGCAGACCCAGGAAAGUCAUUCAAAUCUGCUGCUCUAAAUUCUCCCAUGAAGAACAAGGAAGGAAAUCAUAUUAGAGAAGGUAUGAAGGAGACAGAAUUUCAGGACCUCAAGGUGUCUCGAGGGCAGGUGUCUUUGUAAAGCCAUGGGAGAGAGUUGUCUGUAACCAGCUCACAGGACAAGGCUGAGGCAGUGAGGGGGUUUCCCUUCAGCCUCUUCCCUGAUCCCUGAGUAUGGUUGAGACCAAGACCAUGGCCCUGCUGCUGCUGCUGCUGCUAAGUCACUUCAGUCGUGUCUGACUCUGUGCAACCCCAGAGACGGCAGCCCACCAGGCUUCCCUGUCCCUGGCAUUCUCCAGGCAAGAACACUAGAGUGGGUUGCCAUCUCCUUCUCCAAUGCGUAAAAGUGAAAAGUGAAAGUGGAGUCACUCAGUCGUGUCCAACUCUUCAUGACCCCAUGGACUGCAGCCCACCAGGCUCCUCCGUCCAUAAGAUUUUCCAGGCAAGAGCACUGGAGUGGGGUGCCAUUGCCUUCUCC
ensembl:lncRNA